rnacentral:rRNA from 1 species
GACGAACGCUGGCGGCGUGCCUAAUACAUGCAAGUAGAACGCACAGUUUAUACCGUAGCUUGCUGCACCAUAGACUGUGAGUUGCGAACGGGUGAGUAACGCGUAGGUAACCUGCCUGGUAGCGGGGGAUAACUAUUGGAAACGAUAGCUAAUACCGCAUAAUAUUAAUUAUUGCAUGAUAAUUAAUUGAAAGGUGCAAUUGCACCACUACCAGAUGGACCUGCGUUGUAUUAGCUAGUAGGUGAGGUAACGGCUCACCUAGGCGACGAUACAUAGCCGACCUGAGAGGGUGAUCGGCCACACUGGGACUGAGACACGGCCCAGACUCCUACGGGAGGCAGCAGUAGGGAAUCUUCGGCAAUGGACGAAAGUCUGACCGAGCAACGCCGCGUGAGUGAAGAAGGUUUUCGGAUCGUAAAGCUCUGUUGUAAGAGAAGAACGGGUGUGAGAGUGGAAAGUUCACACUGUGACGGUAUCUUACCAGAAAGGGACGGCUAACUACGUGC